GAUGAACGCUGGCGGCGUGCCUAAUACAUGCAAGUCGAGCGAACAGACGAGGAGCUUGCUCCUCUGACGUUAGCGGCGGACGGGUGAGUAACACGUGGAUAACCUACCUAUAAGACUGGGAUAACUUCGGGAAACCGGAGCUAAUACCGGAUAAUAUAUUGAACCGCAUGGUUCAAUAGUGAAAGACGGUUUUGCUGUCACUUAUAGAUGGAUCCGCGCCGCAUUAGCUAGUUGGUAAGGUAACGGCUUACCAAGGCAACGAUGCGUAGCCGACCUGAGAGGGUGAUCGGCCACACUGGAACUGAGACACGGUCCAGACUCCUACGGGAGGCAGCAGUGGGGAAUCUUCCGCAAUGGGCGAAAGCCUGAUGGAGCAACGCCGCGUGAGUGAAGAAGGUCUUCGGAUCGUAAAACUCUGUUGUUAGGGAAGAACAAAUGUGUAAGUAACUAUGCACGUCUUGACGGUACCUAAUCAGAAAGCCACGGCUAACUACGUG
rnacentral:rRNA from 1 species